rnacentral:lncRNA from 1 species
GGGAGUUGGAGGGCCUCUGUGGCGAUGAAGAAACGGGGAAGGCAUGCUAAGGGAGUGAGCCAGUGUGUCCCUCUCUACGCCUCAGUCUCCUCAUCUGGAGUCUGAAGUGGCCGGGUGACAAGUUCAAGCCCUCCAUAGCUUAAGCUAAGCAGCAGCAGCUGGAUGUGGAGAGGGCAGCCUCGGGGCAGGAAAGGCCUGUGGGGUGGGGCAAAGGUAGGACGGGGCUGAAUCCAGGCUCAGUGUUGUGGAUUGCACAUGGGUGACUGGGAGAUGGCUAGAGGGGUUAGAGACCCGGUGCAGAAAGAUGAAUCCCUAAGGAGUUGGUUCCGAUGCCCCUCUUCACUGUCUGUCUGCAUUGCAGGACCCCAUCACCCCUGGCCUGUGACAUUGCCCCCAAGCCUGCACCUGCAGGUCCUCAGCUUACCUGGCUGGCAGUACAGCAGGAACCAUGCCCAGCACCUGAAGAACCUUCAGAGAGGCCACCCAGAGAAACCACAGGUCAACCUACAACGUGUGCUGCUGCGCCUGCACCACCUGUAUGAAGCAGGGGAGGACCCGGUACUGUCUCGGCCUGCUACAGUGGAUC